GGCAUUUUUAAAUCCUCUUAACUCAAUUUUAAUUAUAUAAUUGACUAGUUAAAAAUUUCAGGUCUUACAGUUGAUAGAGGUGGUUUUCAUUUUAUUGCAACCGAUUUUACCCUAAUAAGCAUGAUCUUGCUGCUCGCAGAAUCGAGACUAUUAGAUACCAGAUAGAAGCAGGAGGUGAUGCUGAUUUGAGGAGAAAAGUUAGAAGAAAAAUUAAACCUAUGGCUGCAACAUUUGAGAGACAAAUGUUUAAUUGAUUGGAUGAGGUUUGAGAUUUAUAGCUAUCAUACAUUUGUAAAGCUAUUUUGGCAUGGAUGAAUUAAGAUUUUUGUUUAUAUUUGAUGAAAAUCAUGUAUUGCUUUUAAUUUUCUAUAAUUUGUGAGAUAUUCAAUAGAUAUGUGUGUACUUUUUGUUUGGUCUUAUAUGAGCAAUGAGCUUAGUUUUGGCUGUUGAUA